UACGAAGGGGGCUAGCGUUGUUCGGAAUUACUGGGCGUAAAGGGCGCGUAGGCGGUGUGUCAAGUCAGGCGUGAAAGCCCCGGGCUCAACCUGGGAACCGCGCUUGAGACUGGCACGCUCGAGUUCGGGAGAGGAUGGUGGAAUUCCCAGUGUAGAGGUGAAAUUCGUAGAUAUUGGGAAGAACACCGAUGGCGAAGGCAGCCAUCUGGACCGACACUGACGCUGAGGCGCGAAAGCGUGGGGAGCAAACAGG
rnacentral:rRNA from 3 species